rnacentral:rRNA from 1 species
UACAGAGGUCUCAAGCGUUGUUCGGAAUUACUGGGCGUAAAGGGCGCGUAGGCGGCCUGCUAAGUCGGAUGUGAAAUCCCUCGGCUCAACCGAGGAACUGCAUCCGAUACUGGCGGGCUUGAAUCCGGGAGAGGGAUGUGGAAUUCCAGGUGUAGCGGUGAAAUGCGUAGAUAUCUGGAGGAACACCGGUGGCGAAGGCGGCAUCCUGGACCGGUAUUGACGCUGAGGCGCGAAAGCUAGGGGAGCAAACGGG